rnacentral:rRNA from 1 species
CAGUCGAGGGGCAGCGGGGGAGUAGCAAUACUCCCGCCGGCGACCGGCGCACGGGUGAGUAACACGUAUGAAACCUGCCCGUAGCAGGGGGAUAAGCGGAAGAAAUUCCGUCUAAUACCGCGUAACAACCCAUGGAGGCAUCUCCGUGGGUUUAAAGGAAGCGAUUCCGGCUACGGAUGGUCAUGCGUCGCAUUAGCUUGUUGGCGGGGUAACGGCCCACCAAGGCGACGAUGCGUAGGGGUUCUGAGAGGAAGGUCCCCCACACUGGUACUGAGACACGGACCAGACUCCUACGGGAGGCAGCAGUGAGGAAUAUUGGUCAAUGGCCGCAGGGCUGAACCAGCCAAGUCGCGUGAGGGAUGACGGUCCUAUGGAUUGUAAACCUCUUUUGUCAGGGAGCAAAGGGCGCCACGUGUGGCGUUUUGCGAGUACCUGAAGAAAAAGCAUCGGCUAACUCCGUGCCAGCAGCCGCGGUAAUACGGAGGAUGCGAGCGUUAUCCGGAUUUAUUGGGUUUAAAGGGUGCGCAGGCGGAAUGUCAAGUCAGCGGUAAAAUUUCGGGGCUCAACCCCGUCGUGCCGUUGAAACUGGCGUUCUUGAGUGAGCGAGAAGUAUGCGGAAUGCGUGGUGUAGCGGUGAAAUGCAUAGAUAUCACGCAGAACUCCGAUUGCGAAGGCAGCAUACCGGCGCUCAACUGACGCUCAUGCACGAAAGCGUGGGUAUCGAACAGGAUUAGAUACCCUGGUAGUCCACGCAGUAAACGAUGAAUACUAACUGUCCGGGCAGAAUGAUGCCUGGGUGGUACAGCGAAAGCGUUA